rnacentral:rRNA from 1 species
UACGUAGGGACCAAGCGUUGUUCGGAUUUACUGGGCGUAAAGGGCGCGUAGGCGGCAAUUCAAGUCAGCUGUGAAAUCUCCGGGCUUAACUCGGAACGGUCAGCUGAUACUGCUUUGCUAGAGUGCAGAAGGGGCAAUCGGAAUUCUUGGUGUAGCGGUGAAAUGCGUAGAUAUCAAGAGGAACACCGGUGGCGAAGGCGGGUCUCUGGGCAGUAACUGACGCUGAGACGCGAAAGCGUGGGGAGCAAACAGG